UUUCUUCUUCUUCCCCGACUUGAGUUUUUCGGCGAUGGGAGACGAGCAGCUGGCGAUUGUGAUGGCCGAUCGUGAAAGAGAUCGAGAACUUUGAUUCGCUUCGCUGAUUCCGGCAACAAAGACGAUGGUUAGUCGUUUUCUCAUUUCAAGAUUCAUGUGAAAUGAACAGUAGCUUUGGAUCUGGAAUUGGAUUGUGAUCUUAUGCUUUAACUAUUUUCUGCAAACUUUAAGUUUGUUCAUUAAGGGUUUGGCAUCGAAGAAGUUCAUGAAAGGCUGAUUACUGGCAGCUCUAGCGCGAUUUUUAAAUCAGAUCAUCCCGCCAUGACCUCACAAGCUUGUCUCUUCAGAAUCAGCUCAAAGAUCUUUAUUAUUAGCAUCAUGUCGAUGGAUUCUCUCUGCUAGUCUUUUUUUCUGAUAUAUUGUCCGUUAUUUCUGAUAUAUCUCUGAAUCUGUUUAAGUAGUUAUGAUGUGAAGGGGCUAGAUUUGGAUUUACUUCCUCAGACAGGAAAGAGGCGUUAAAGAUUUGGUGCAAGCUGCGACUCUGUGAUCACAACUCCACACCAAGAGCUCUGAUGUCAAGCAUCUCUACAAGAAAGAAGAAUGGGUUCUUAUCAUAUAAAUAUGUGCAAUGGAGAAAAUACAACACGUUUGGAUG